rnacentral:tRNA from 1 species
AGCAGUAAAUCGGACGCAUCCUCCCAGGUGGGGAGCUUCUUCAGUGCCGGUCUCCGGAGCCGUGUGCGCAGGUUCGAAUCCUGCAGGGGGCACCA